UACGUAGGUGGCAAGCGUUGCCCGGAUUUAUUGGGUUUAAAGGGUGCGUAGGCGGCUUUGUAAGUCAGUGGUGAAAUAUGGCAGCUCAACUGUCAGGGUGCCAUUGAUACUGCGGAGCUUGAGUACAGAUGAGGUAGGCGGAAUUGACGGUGUAGCGGUGAAAUGCUUAGAUAUCGUCAAGAACACCGAUAGCGAAGGCAGCUUACUGGGCUGUAACUGACGCUGAGGCACGAAAGUGUGGGGAUCAAACAGG
rnacentral:rRNA from 1 species